rnacentral:rRNA from 1 species
CCUACGGGAGGCUGCAGUGAGGAAUAUUGGUCAAUGGGCGGUAGCCUGAACCAGCCAAGUAGCGUGCAGGAUGACGGCCCUACGGGUUGUAAACUUCUUUUAUACGGGAAUAACGCGCAUUAUGUAUAGGGCUUUGCAUGUACCGUAUGAAUAAGGACCGGCUAAUUCCGUGCCAGCAGCCGCGGUAAUACGGAGGGUUCGAGCGUUAUCCGGAUUUAUUGGGUUUAAAGGGAGCGUAGGCGGCAUGUCAAGCGUGUUGUGAAAUGUUCGGGCUCAACCGUGGCAUUGCAGUGGGUACUGGCGUGCUUGAGUCCGCGGAAGGCAGGCGGAAUUCGUGGUGUAGCGGUGAAAUGCUUAGAUAUGACGAAGAACCCCGAUUGCGAAGGCAGCUUGCUGCAGCGGAACUGACGCUGAUGCUCGAAAGCGCGGGUAUCGAACAGGAUUAGAUACCCGAGUAGUC